AUGCGCKUMYUACAUGCAAGUCGAACGGUAACAGGUUAAGCUGACGAGUGGCGAACGGGUGAGUAAUAUAUCGGAACGUGCCCAGUCGUGGGGGAUAACUGCUCGAAAGAGCAGCUAAUACCGCAUACGACCUGAGGGUGAAAGCGGGGGAUCGCAAGACCUCGCGCGAUUGGAGCGGCCGAUAUCAGAUUAGGUAGUUGGUGGGGUAAAGGCCCACCAAGCCAACGAUCUGUAGCUGGUCUGAGAGGACGACCAGCCACACUGGGACUGAGACACGGCCCAGACUCCUACGGGAGGCAGCAGUGGGGAAUUUUGGACAAUGGGCGCAAGCCUGAUCCAGCCAUGCCGCGUGCGGGAAGAAGGCCUUCGGGUUGUAAACCGCUUUUGUCAGGGAAGAAAAGGUUCUGGUUAAUACCUGGGACUCAUGACGGUACCUGAAGAAUAAGCACCGGCUAACUACGUGCCAGCAGCCGCGGUAAUACGUAGGGUGCAAGCGUUAAUCGGAAUUACUGGGCGUAAAGCGUGCGCAGGCGGUUAUGCAAGACAGAGGUGAAAUCCCCGGGCUCAACCUGGGAACUGCCUUUGUGACUGCAUGGCUAGAGUACGGUAGAGGGGGAUGGAAUUCCGCGUGUAGCAGUGAAAUGCGUAGAGAUCUGGAGGAAUACCGAUGGCGAAGGCAGCCAUCUGGCCUAAUACUGACGCUGAGGUACGAAAGCAUGGGGAGCAAACAGGAUUAGAUACCCUGGUAGUCCAUGCCGUAAACGAUGUCUACUAGCCGUUGGGGCCUUUGAGGCUUUAGUGGCGCAGCUAACGCGAUAAGUAGACCGCCUGGGGAGUACGGUCGCAAGACUAAAACUCAAAUGAAUUGACGGGGGCCCGCACAAGCGGUGGAGCAUGUGGUUUAAUUC
rnacentral:rRNA from 1 species